UACAGAGGGUGCGAGCGUUAAUCGGAAUUACUGGGCGUAAAGCGCACGUAGUCGGCUUUGCAAGUCGGUUGUGAAAUCCCCGGGCUCAACCUGGGAACUGCAUUCGAGACUGCAUUGCUAGAGUAUGGGAGAGGGAAGUGGAAUUUCCGGUGUAGCGGUGAAAUGCGUAGAUAUCGGAAGGAACAUCAGUGGCGAAAGCGACUUCCUGGACCAAUACUGACGCUCAUGUGCGAAAGCGUGGGGAGCAAACAGG
rnacentral:rRNA from 1 species